rnacentral:lncRNA from 1 species
CAUUUUAUUACCAGUCUUCACUUGUCCUUCUCCAAGAGUAACCAUUAUCCUAACACCAUAGAUUUUAUGUUUAUUAUAUAUAUGUAUAUUAUGUGUAAAAUAUAUGCAUUUAUAAGUGGCUCUUAAGUAUAAGAAAAUAUGUUCAACUCUACAUAUAAGAAAUAUUAAAAAUUAAAAUUACACUAAGAUACCAUUUCUCACUUAUCAGAUAAAAAAUUUAAAAGAUUGGCAGUGUAUUCUGUUGGGAAGAUGUGGAAUAACAGACACUUUUAUAUAUUACUCAUAGGAAUGCAAAUGGAUACAAAACUUAUGGAGGGAUACUUGGCAAUACCUAAUAAAGCAACAUACGCCCUUACCUUCUGACUUAAAAAUUUCAUUUCUUGGCAUUAUAUUGAAAUUUUAUCUCCAAUUAUAUGAAAAUUAAUAUGCACGGUUAUAGUCAUUGCAGCAUUAUGGAUUGCACAAUAUUGGAAACAGUACAAAUUUUUAUUUAUAGGAGAUUGUUUAAAUAAACAAUGGUACUUCCAUACCAUGAAGUACUUUGGAAGUUUAAAAGGAAAAAAUCUGUAAGGUUGUUAUGGAGUGAUUUGCAGUAUUUAUUGUUUACUGAAAGAAGCAAAGUCAAAAUCAUUAGUAGUAUAUAGUAUGCUAUCUUUUGUGUACGAAAGGAGGUACAAGAAAAUAUAUGUUCAUCUGUUUAUUUUUACGAAAAAAGAAACAAAAGAAGGAAAAGCCAAGAAAUCAAUAAGAUUGAUUGGGAAUGAGUAGGAAUGAAGGACUGAGGAUGAGAGAGGGACUCAUCUCCAAAUAUUAUUUCAUAUAAUUUUGACUUUUGUAACCAUGCUAAUAUUUUAUAUACUCAACGGAAACCCACAAAGUAAAGUGAAGCCAGUAAGAAAGAGGGGAAUCUAAAAAAAUGAAUACAAACAAAAAAAGUGAAACUAAGUAAUUUCAAAUGAAAAAUAGAACCACAUUGCAGGUGAAGGACAAUGAGGCUACUUAACUUCUGGACACAGUAUUUAAAAACUUAAAAUAAAUGCCAAAGGGACUGUAAACAGCUAUUGAAUUCUAGUCAGUAGGAUUGUCUUUUGCAGUGUUGCAGGUUGGCAAUCUGUUACUACUUUAUGCAAACAGGUGUAUACCCUGAAGCUAAAAGAAAUCCAGCCUUUCACCAUUGUUGAUAGGAGUAUCACUAUGCGCUGGAGGAAUAUUAGCAUGAAGCCAGUGAUUUUGGAUUCGGAUUUGAGCUAUAAGUAUGAAUUUGUGGCUUGUUCCAUAUCUAUCUAUCAUCCACCUACCCACCUACCUACCUACCUAUCAUCUUUAUAUACCUACCAAGUCGUGUGGAUGUGUAUAUAUACAAAAGCACAUAUAUCCAUUUUCUAGCUCUGUGUACUGAGGGCAUAGGAACAAUACUCCUGUAUCAAUGAGUACACUUAAUACCCAAAUCUCUGUUUCUAAAUAAUAUCUUCACUAAAAGGAACCAGGGUUGGAAUUCCUGCUGUGGAACAGUGGGUUAAGGGUCCGGCAUUCUCAUUGCAGUGACUUGGGUUGCUGCUGUGGAGCAGGUUCAGUCCCCGGCCUGGGAAAUUACACAUGGGGGUGCUGCCAAAAAAGGGAUGUGGGGAACCAGGGCUCCUUGGAAAAGAAAGAAGGGCUGGAUCAGAGAAAGUAUAAAAUGAAUCUGGGAUAUCAUCUUAUGACAAAAAUUAAUGAAUGUUCAAAAAUCAAAGACCAUGUCAAAAUGCUACAUGAACCAGUUUUAAAGGCCCAACUGAUCAAAUUUGGGGCAUUUUAAGUGUAAAAGUAAAUAAUAAUAAUGGAUUAUAAUCUGUAGGAUAAAAUAAGGUUCUAUAAGUCUAUUCUGAUGUAAAUAAAUGAGUAAAUUAGACAUAAAUAGAGGAGAAGAAAAAUCCUUUCCUUAGAAUAGAAUACCAAAAAACAUAUAGAGGGAAUGAAGGAGUAAAAACUCACUAUUUGGUAACCAUCACAGUAGGAGUUUGUUUUUUACUGGUGUGAAAAGACCAACAUUUAUUAUGCUUAUAAUUCUGUGGGUCAGAAAUUCAAGCAGAGCACAACAAGGAUGGUUCACCCCUACUCCACCAAGUCUGGGGCUUCAGCUGAGGUGGCUCAAAAGGCUAGGGAUGUUUAGAAUGGCUUGACUGGGACCAUAUGUCUGGGACUGUAGUUUUUCUGUGCAUGGCAUCUGCUGGGGCUAUAAUGCCCAAGAUGGCAGCUUCACUUGAAUGUCACUAGAAUAGCCAGGCUUUGCUGAUAUCUUCACUCUACUGGGCAUUCUCAGGACAAUUAGGCUUCUUACAAAGCAAGAAGUAAUAACUAGUUCCCAAGACCCAGGAAGAAGCUGUAAAACUUCUUACAACUUAGCCUCAUAAGUCCAAAAGCACUUCUGCAACAUUCUGUUGAUCAGGAAAGUCAGUUAAGAUCGACUCAGCUCAGAUUCAAGGAGAGGGCAAGAAUAGACUUAGCUUCCUGAUUGGGGGAUGGAAUGGACACACAAGUGAACUGAUGGCGCUACCUUGGAGACAAGUUACAACAGUGAAUAACAUUCCUUAACUUGAUUUUCCACUAGCUUUCAGUCUUGGAGAGCUACCCAAAUUAGUCUAUAUAGUUCAUCUUCAUUUUUUCUCUUUGUUGCAUAAUAUCUACCAACACUAUGCCAUAAUCUAUUAGACAUUUUCUCCUUUAGGGAUAUAUAGGUGGUUUCUAUUGUCCUUUUUAAAAAAUUGUACUUGAAUAUGUUUAUUUUUGGUUAUGUUUCAAUAUUUCAAAGGUUAAUAUUGAGACAUGGAAUGAUAUUUUGGAGUUAAUUAAAAUUUUUUUAAAUUUAUUUUUUAUUAGGGUAUUGUUGAUUUACAGUGUUGAGUCAAUCUCUGCUAUAGCAUCACAGUAUAUGACCAUAUUCAAUAGAUACUAUCCACAGUUUGCCCUCUCCCCUGGCUCAUCUAGUUUAUAUUUCCCUAUGAGUGCACAGGGGUACCAAUUUCACUGGUAAUACAUGAUACUGUCAAACUUUUAAGUGUGUACAAUAGAAAAAAAAAAUAAAAGGGAAAAAAAGUAAAGUUUGAAAAUCACUAUCCCGAGCACAGAUCUGAAAUUCAUGAAAAUGGUGAGGAGAAUGAAUGGAGUAAUAUACCACUCUCUGGUUUGCUAUGGGAAGCAGUAUAGAACCACAUAGUCAUAGAAUCAGAGCUAGACGCAUCUCAGAGAUCACUUAAUCUAGUGGUUCUUAACCUAUUUGGCAUUAGCAUCACCUUGAGAAAUUCAUCCAGGCCAAUUAAGUCUGAAUCUCUGGAGGCUGGUUCAGAUAUCAGCAUUUGUAAAUAACUAUGUUGUGUAUCUUGCAGUAAGAGUCAAGAACCACUAGCCUAAAUCAAAUCUCUUACAUUACAGAAAAGGAAACUCAGGCCAUGUGAGUUUACCUCAUUUGUCUCACAGACUUCUGCUGGCCAAGAACUUAUCUGCCCUGAUCACAUGUUCAGUGUUAUCUCUAUUAUUUAAUAGUUUCUCUAGAAGGGCUGCUAUGGUUGGAAAACAUUAAAAUGCUAGAAAUGCUUACUUUGAGAGUAAAGUAUUUUCCUAAUGUUGGUAAAUGUUCUUUUCGAAAACUAACUCUGUAUUUAAUAUCUGUAUUUCUGUAAGGACAAAAAGGAAAAGCUGCCAGAACUCUGACUAUAGCAGUAUGACUAGCAGGAAACACAGCUAUAAUUACACAUAAACCUCUUUCCAUUAUCUCUUUUUUCCUCAAGUGAUUUUAAAAACUAAUCAUUACACAUCUCUGCAUGAGUAACCAAUCAGGACCUGAAUAUUUGUAUUUCUUUUUAACAGCAUCAAACUAGUAUGUACUCAGAACAACCAUGUUAAUAUUUCAUUCAGGUUGAGUUACCAGUGAAUGCUAAAACUAUUGUGUGACAGUUUGGUGAGGUGCAAGAUAGCCACACCAUCUUAAUGUACCUUUCCACAAAUUUCCAGGAGAAAAAUAACAACCUAUAGGGGAGACACUUGAUAGAAACUGCCUAAUGACAUGAGCAGUUACCAUCACCAUUGUGAAAGUUAAUAAACAGAAACCUCAUUUAAAAUGGAGUCAGGAGGCCAGAAGGAGGCGCUCUCAUGCCCUACCACAGGAUGUCAAAUGCAGAUCCAGCAGAAAGAGAUGUACCUUUGCAUCUCAGUCAGGAAGAAGGUUAUUCCUUUACCUUCCAGCAGGAAGACGGAAGAUUUCUCCUGGCCUAGCAACAGCCCAGCCAGUGACAGACUGUCACAACUCAGCCAGUGAAAAGCUACUACAGUUUCAACCGUUUCCUCCAAUGGACUCUGUUUAUAACAGCCCCAUCCUAACUCUCCUUCUUCCCUAUAAAAGAAUGUUCCUUGCCUUUGUUCUCUGGACAUGUCUGUGAUUUGCUGUAUGUCCCAAAUUGCAAUUGUUUGCUGUACCUCAAUAAACUCAUUUUGCUGG